CACGUAGGGUGCAAGCGUUGUCCGGAAUCAUUGGGCGUAAAGCGCGUGUAGGCGGUCCGGUAAGUCCGCUGUGAAAGUCGAGGGCUCAACCCUCGAAUGCCGGUGGAUACUGUCGGGCUAGAGUACGGAAGAGGCGAGUGGAAUUCCUGGUGUAGCGGUGAAAUGCGCAGAUAUCAGGAGGAACACCAAUUGCGAAGGCAGCUCGCUGGGACGUUACUGACGCUGAGACGCGAAAGCGUGGGGAGCAAACAGG
rnacentral:rRNA from 1 species